UAAUUUUGCCGAUUGUUUGUUUAUUGUGCGUAAUAAUAAACAGAUAUUUUCUAUUAUAUGCAAACGGUAUUUGGAACUGUACCCUCUUGUGGUGUGCAUGAGAAAAAGCAUGCAAAUAGGUCAAGUUCUUUACCACCGCAGGAGUAGCUAUAUUCUUUCGAGAUGUAGAAUCGGCAAAAUAACCCAAUUGGUCAUGUUUACUAGGACUUUUAAGACUGAUCUUAAUUCGAAUCGAGGCACGGACCUGUUGGUAGCAGUGUGAGAUAUGGCAGAACAGUUAAGGCCAUUUAACUCAACUGCCCCCUCGUGUGUCUCUUAGCCCUGCUGGCUCCUACGACUUGUGCUCCAGACUGAAAUGACUUUAAACUGUGCUGUGGCCCCUGGGUCUUGGAGCUUCAUGAAACACAGCAGGUGCCAGCCAGUCACUCCAUCUCAUUCAGAAUACUGCUGCUCAGCUCAUCUACAAUCAGCAAAACAACACAAAUCCCCCUCUCCUCAUCUCCCUUCACUGGCUAGCAAGUCUGGACCAAAUAAAAUACAAAUCUCUAGUCUUGCUUAUAAAAAUGUUCUUGGAUUUGAACUUAGAAAGAUAUUUCACUUUUGUAUAACACAAGUAUUUUUGUGGAGCUCACCCCAUUGUAUUUGCAUAUCAUGAAUAUUAGCAACAUGAAAUGUCCCUGUUGACCAUUUUCCAGCUUGCAGUUCAUUCCGCUUCAUUUUUGUGACCUCGCCGAAAUUAAUCAUUUUAAAACACAAUCUCUGGAGGAUAACAGGUUGAUAAAAUGAGUAUUAACGUCAAACGGUCCAAGGUUUUUUGAACUGAUUUUCAGGUUUUUUUUUUUUUCAAACUGUUUUCAGGCUUAGGUUAGCUAUAAACAGAGAAACAAUUUUCAGAUUGGCCACUGCUUAGAAAUACAACAAACCAUAGUUAGAUGCACGUGCCCAUGUAAAUAUGUUAUUGUGCUCAAGGAUACAGUGAAAGUAACAAAACUUUUCCUGGAUCUUGUUUUUCUUUUAUGUGGCAAUUUCGGUGAGGCCCUGAAAAUGAAUGGGAGGGAACAGGGAACCGGAAAACCGGGAGGAAUGGGGCUGCCGUUAACAGUCAACAGGGACCUCUGAUGUUGCUAGUAUUCACACUACACAAAUAAAAUGACUUGUGUUAUACCAAAGUUAAAUAUCACUUCAAACAUAAUUUCACACCACAGUCGCAAGCCAGGCAUGUGAAGACCAGGGGCUGAGGAGACCCAUUCAUACACGUGCACAGAGAGUUAGCUACAGACGCCUGGAUGGCCUGGAGCAAUGAACAAUGCUAUUUUUACCAUCUGUACCCCUCCCAUAUCCCUAAGUGACACGAAGCCAAUUAUGUACCACCCCUGUGGGGCUGCCAGCCACAGUUUGCAGUGGCACGGGUCGGAUUCAAUCUGAGACUGUGGUGCUCACUCCUGCGCUACAAGCAGUACUUUUAUUGAGCGAGCUACCCAGCUAGUGAGUAACUAAUGGUUUUCAGUGUAAGCCACUAUUUUGGAUACAAUUUUAUUUCAAGACCAAUUAAAAAAUGAGGACACUCUUCUAUUGUACAUCAAGAGGAACAGCACCUUUUUACCUGCAAACCUUAUGCCUUAUACUCCUGCCAGCCCUCUCUGCUACACAUUCCCUGACUGACUUACUGUCCCCCUUCCUAAAGGGGCCCUCUUGUCAAUCAAGUCUCUAUUCUGGCCAAAAUUUUUAAUGAUAUUCCCUAACCAAUUUUUUUCCUAAUAAUACAACAUUCUCUGUUUCCCUCUUGUACCUCCUAUGGCAUCUGGUAUCUAAUUUAUGUUGAAAGAUUAUGUAUUGACAAUUACUAUUUUUUGUCAUAGCUUAGGAUCAGCACUGUUCUUGCCUAAACCCAAAUGUAUGCACUUAUAUACAGUAAGUUGCUCUGGAUAACGUAGUGCAUACAUACAUUAGUGCAGUGGUUCCCAACCAUAUUCCUGUCAUCUGCUGUCCUGUUGCUUUUCACUUCAACCCUAACAAAGGACACCUUAUUUAACUGCUAGGGAUCUCAAUGAGCUGCUAGUCUGUAGAAUCAGAUGUGCCAAAUUAGGAUUGAAAUGAAAACAUCACAUACAGGACAAUGACUCACCAGGAACAUGGUUGGGAACCACUGCAUUAGUACAUGAACAUCCGCCACAGAAUGUGACGUCAACUCUUGAGAAGCAAUGAGCUUGAUUAAUUCCCUUAGCUGGAGACCAUCUUUAUCUUGAAGAUCAAAACAUAACUCUUCUAGAGCACCACGGCCAUAGUUUGAAAUUCGCCACAGACUAACCCCUGUUACAAUGGUGACUAAGAUAAUAUGACUGAUGCCUAUCAGUUGGCUAAGGUUGCUGCAGGACUUUUGAGGGGGGUGAAUGUGGAGUUCAGAGACGUGAGGUAGCAUGUGAACAUCUGCUAUAGGCCACCCCUGGAGAGACAAUAAGAGUAUGAUUAAUUCCCUCAGCUGGGGAUCAUUGAUCAUUUACUCAGCAUGCUAAUUGUACUCAACAUGCUAACUGUUCAGCCACAAUUCAAAACUUAUAACAGAUCUACUCUCCAGUGAAUAUGCAUCACUAACUGCCCUGUUUUUACUUUAAGUACUGUGAAAGUAGCCAAAGCUCUCUUAUUAAUUAUUAAUUUAUACAGAGAGCAGCAACAAGGAUAGGCUUUUGCCUUUAAUUUCUAACUCAGGAGAGGCCAACUGAGAGCUCAGCAGCCACCCUGUUUUUGGGAGUUGAAAACUCCAAGCACAGAGGCUUCAACAUUUGGGCAACUUGCAGAGUUCUACCAUACACACUUGUCUAGGGAAUGUAUUAUGUUGUGUUUACAUUGUGUUUUUGACUGUCUGCAUGUGUAGCUAGGAACAGUGCAGGAAAGUGUAGAUGAGAUGAAAAAGAUAAAAAAUAUGUUAUUUCCAAUUGCAAAUUCCUGGAACUUGUUGCUGGGGCUGUUCCCUCUACCCCUUGUCUGGGAUCAUCCUCUUCCUCCCCCAAUGACAUCAGUGGACAUUGUUGAUCAGAUUUAGAUGUAGCCACGCUAGGCACAUGUGUUUGUUUACUUGUGGGUGAUGUUUUGGGAAGAGCUGAGGAGGGAGGUGCUGUGUUGAGGCGGUCCUGUGGUUUUUUUCAAUAUGGAUUUCAUGACUUGAAAUGUGUGUUAUUAUAGUUAUUGACAUAAUUUUGAAUAGAUAUUUGGUGAAAGUGUGAUCAUUCAUGGUUUUUAACUAUUUUCAGCCCCUUUACAAUCACUUCAGUCAAAUUUUUCAGGGUGCAUGUGUUGCGGUUGUGUGCCAAUAUACCUUCAUAAUACACAACUAGUUUUGUGCAAGAUACAGUAUGAACAUAUUUUAUGUGUACUACUUAUUUUAAAAUCAUCUGUCUGCAAAGUUGGGUGAAAAGUUUAUGGACACAAAUCUGUAAUUUGAGAGAGCAAUGUUGCAGUUCGCCUGUAUGUAAUUCCCUGCAGUCCCUAAAUCACUCAAGCAAGAUAAUAAACCUUCCAUACUGAAGUCUCCCCUGUAAAACUGCUCAGGCUCUAUGUGCUGGACAGCCAGCAACGAGUGGGACCCUGGAGCCCUCUGAUUAUCUCCAGUUCCGUUUCCCCCCUUCCCUUUUGCCCUAAUCAUUCCCCCAGAGCCCCAUUGGUGGUCCCCGAAUGUGAACCUGAGAGCCCCAGCGCUAGCAGGUCGGCCUGGGGUGAAGUCGGCGGCCUCCCUCCCGGGGCACAUCAGUCAUCUCCGACAGGAAUGUCCCAGGACGCCGCUCUGCAGGCCUUCCUUCCCUUCCACCCCCACCCACGGUCACCUUCAACGAGCCCCUUCUCGACUUACAGGGCGUCUGUUGUGGAAACCUUCCAAAACCUGCUCUGUGGCGGCCCAGAAUGACAAUUGCGAGCAAUGCGUUUGUGACCAGAUUUCGACAAAAACAUGUCUGAUAUUGCAUGGACAAGCCAAAGCUCAUGCCCUUGUGAGAGGUUAUGUCAAGUGUUUAAAUGUAUAAAGGUUUCUAAAUGAACACACAUGCAGGUUGUAUUUUCAUCAGCAAAUGCAGGAAGCAUGCAGGUCUGGGUCUGUGUGUAGGAGGCAGGAAUGCUGAAUUGUUCACUGCCAGAUUCCAUAUGCUGUUGUAUAAAUAAUUCACGGUUAAAUAAAACGUUUUACUUUUCAA